UACGUAGGGGGCUAGCGUUGUCCGGAAUCAUUGGGCGUAAAGAGCGUGUAGGCGGCCUUACAGGUCAGCUGUGAAAACUCGAGGCUCAACCUCGAGACGUCGGUUGAAACCGUAAGGCUAGAGUCCGGAAGAGGAGAGUGGAAUUCCCGGUGUAGCGGUGAAAUGCGCAGAUAUCGGGAAGAACACCCGUGGCGAAGGCGGCUCUCUGGGACGGUACUGACGCUGAGACGCGAAAGCGUGGGGAGCGAACAGG
rnacentral:rRNA from 1 species